UACAGAGGGUGCGAGCGUUGUCCGGAAUCACUGGGCGUAAAGGGCGCGUAGGUGGCGCAACAAGUCAGUGGUGAAAGCUCGACGCUCAACGUCGAGUCGGCCACUGAGACUGUUGGGCUUGAGCACUGUAGAGGCUAAUGGAAUUCCGGGUGUAGCGGUGGAAUGCGUAGAGAUCCGGAAGAACACCGGUGGCGAAGGCGGUUAGCUGGGCAGUUGCUGACACUGAGGCGCGACAGCGUGGGGAGAAAACAGG
rnacentral:rRNA from 1 species